UACGAAGGUGGCAAGCGUUACUCGGAAUUACUAGGCGUAAAGGGCAGGUAGGUGGUUCGGUAAGUCUGUUGUGAAAGCUCCUGGCUUAACUGGGAGAGGUCAACAGAAACUGCCGGGCUUGAGUAUAGGAGAGGGUACUGGAAUUCCCGGUGGAGCGGUGAAAUGCGUAGAUAUCGGGAGGAACACCAAUGGCGAAAGCAGGUACCUGGACUAUUACUGACACUCAGCUGCGAAAGCUAGGGGAGCAAACAGG
rnacentral:rRNA from 1 species